rnacentral:rRNA from 1 species
ACUCAAAGGAAUUGACGGGGGCCCGCACAAGCAGUGGAGCAUGUGGUUUAAUUCGAUGCAACGCGAAGAACCUUACCCAGGCUCGAAAUGCAGUAGACAGUCUCAGAAAUGAGAUCUUCCGCAAGGACUGCUGUAUAGGUGCUGCAUGGCUGUCGUCAGCUCGUGCCGUGAGGUGUUGGGUUAAGUCCCGCAACGAGCGCAACCCUUAUCAUUAGUUGCCAACGCUUAAGGCGGGGACUCUAGUGAGACUGCCUAGGUUAACUAGGAGGAAGGUGAGGAUGACGUCAAGUCCGCAUGGCCUUUAUGUCUGGGGCUACACACGUGCUACAAUGGUCGGUACAGAAGGCAGCAAUAUCGCAAGAUGGAGCAAAUCCGUAAAACCGAUCUCAGUUCAGAUUGUGGUCUGCAACUCGACCACAUGAAGUUGGAAUUGCUAGUAAUGACGUGUCAGCAACAGCGUCGUGAAUACGUUCCCGGGCCUUGCACACACCGCCCGU